AUGAUCGCGGAGGCACCAAACUGCGAGGUCCGCAGUCACUUGAUCUUGUGCCGUGACACAACGAUCGCGUCCAGCUCGGCCAGGAUCGACGUGUGCAUGAGGCGUCAUUCGCAGGCACUCACGUCCCACCGUACCCUGUGCGCUCGUCCCCACGUUAGGUCCCCUGUCACCCCGUCACCCUGCCAGACGCCAGUUGCCACCGUGAUCUCCAGCCUCCAGCUGAUGAUCAGAAGCAACGGACCAAAACCAGAAGUCAAGCCGGAGACCAGAAGCAACGGACCAAAACAAGGGCCGCCGUCGCUCUCGCCCCGGCCGCGGCCGCGGCCGCCGCCGCUGGGAAAACCGGAGCGCUCGCCUGCCUGA
rnacentral:rRNA from 1 species